CCUUGAUUCUCCCUUGCGUCGAUC
rnacentral:siRNA from 1 species